rnacentral:rRNA from 1 species
AUUGAACGCUGGCGGCAGGCCUAACACAUGCAAGUCGAGCGGAUGAAGGGAGCUUGCUCCUGGAUUCGGCGGCGGACGGGUGAGUAAUGCCUAGGAAUCUGCCUAGUAGUGGGGGAUAACGUCCGGAAACGGGCGCUAAUACCGCAUACGUCCUGAGGGAGAACGUGGGGGAUCUUCGGACCUCACGCUAUCAGAUGAGCCUAGGUCGGAUUAGCUAGUUGGUGGGGUAAAGGCCUACCAAGGCGACGAUCCGUAACUGGUCUGAGAGGAUGAUCAGUCACACUGGAACUGAGACACGGUCCAGACUCCUACGGGAGGCAGCAGUGGGGAAUAUUGGACAAUGGGCGAAAGCCUGAUCCAGCCAUGCCGCGUGUGUGAAGAAGGUCUUCGGAUUGUAAAGCACUUUAAGUUGGGAGGAAGGGCAGUAAGUUAAUACCUUGCUGUUUUGACGUUACCAACAGAAUAAGCACCGGCUAACUUCGUG